ensembl:lincRNA
AUUAUUGUAACAAUUCAAAUCUUUGGCAUAAAUUUUUUAUCAUUAACACACUAGGCAACAGUCGCCAGAAUGUUCACUAAACUUACCAAGGUCAGCACCAAGUGAGUGGCUGAGUGAGAUGGUGAAUGAUCAGCUCUGUCCCACUUCCAUGAACCUCUGGACAAUGGACACGUGAAGUUUCUGUGGGGCUUGAAGAAACAAAAUUUUAUUCUCACUUCUACUUAACCACCGAGGAUUUCAUCACUCUUCAAUUUCUUUUGCAAAGCAAGAGAUCCCGAGAAUAUUUCAAAAACGGUUGGAGGCAUAGCUGGACAAAUAAAGUACCCUUCCACAGGACCCAGGAGCAAGAGCUUACUAAGAUUCAGCUCAUGAAGAUGUUUCAAAAAAGGAUGGUGGUUUUCAGGCAAAUAGAUCAUCCUUCUUCAAGAAAGGUUUAUAGACCCUUGUACCAAUGUUUUGAGAAGUUCAGGAGCUUCCCCAGGAGAAAAUUGUGUAAGAGGAAAUGCUUAUCCUUGUUCGCUGGAAAGGGACUUCAAAAAGACCCCAUCAAGACCUAACUUCUUUCUAAAGUAGAGCUACUGUUCUCAGAAAGGUAAAUCUUCUAGCGAUAUGGAAAAUAAGACAUACCUACAGAGAUCAUCGCAGAAAAAUGAGACACAAGGAAAGAGAUGGUGAACUCCAAGUCGAGGCAGAAAGAGUGAAAACUGAGUGGAAGUGAUCGACCCGAGAGACAUUUAGGAAUCAAUAGGACUAUAUUAGGAUGAGGAAGUUGUGGGGAAAGACCUUGCUUUUCCUAACUAAGGGAAAUGACUUGGUGGUUAUGCCAUCCAUGGAGGUGGAUAAGAAGACGGAGAAUAUAGGAACAGGGGGUUGUUACAUGUAGAAUUCCUGGUGGUACUAGUGAGAAAAAUCCUG